GCGCAGCGCUCUCAAGGCACAGCGCUCCCCCUCGCAGGGGCUCGCCGCUCUCGCGGAAACGAGCCUGCUGAGGAAGGGAGGCGGCGAACGUCGGGACCUUCCUCUCUGAUUGGUCUCCGCCGCUCGCUCUCUCCCCCCCCCCCGGCUCCGAGCGAGGGGAGGCGGCGAUUGGCUGCCCGGGCCUGUCAAUCGGAAAGGCCAAGUUCCAUUGCGGGAUCGCCUCGCUCCGCGAGCCGGGCUUGGCUGCUGCUGCCGCGGCGGCUGCGGGGAGCUGGCCGGCUGCUGCUGAUGGAGAAGUGAUGCUGGCUGCCGGGACCCGGGCGGCAGCAGCGGCAGGACCAGGACCAGCCGUGGGAGCCCAGCUGAACCCUCCGUGCCGCCAGCCAGGCGAAGACAGCAAAGCCAGCUGGUUUAUCAAUAUGCAACCAGCAGUUGUUCGAUAUGAGGUGGAGAAGGCGAGAUGAAAAAUGGCACAGAAUGAAGAAUUAUGAAAUUAUGGGCAUGGCACAGCUAAGCAAAGAAGAGCAAUUAAUGAAGAGAGAAAAACGGAACAUUGUCUAAGUCAGGUAAGCAAUUUAGACCAUUACCUAACAAUGUGUAAGGUGACUGAAGCUUAUUCGGAUUAUGCAAGGAUUACAGGUGCGUGCAUGCACACACACAGACAAAUGCUGGGACUUCCUUCCUGAGCAAUAUUUUCUCUGCAUUAAGUACAAACAUACUUUCUUCUGAUAUUAAACAUGCAUUUGACUUGCUUUGAAGCAUGAAUAACCCCAACUCCAGCACCUAGGUGCACUAUGGUAUGCCUCUUCCCACGCCUUCCCGCCCCUUUCCACUCCCUU
rnacentral:lncRNA from 1 species